rnacentral:rRNA from 1 species
CACGUAGGGCGCAAGCGUUGUCCGGAAUUAUUGGGCGUAAAGAGCUCGUAGGCGGACUGUUGCGUCCGCUGUGAAAAGCUGGGGCUUAACCCUGGCCUUGCAGUGGAUACGGGCAGACUAGAGGUAGGUAGGGGAGAAUGGAAUUCCCGGUGUAGCGGUGAAAUGCGCAGAUAUCGGGAGGAACACCCGUAGCGAAGGCGGCACUCUGGGCCGAUACUGACACUGAGGAGCGAAAGCGUGGGGAGCGAACAGG